GACAGAGGGGGCAAGCGUUGCUCGGAAUUACUGGGCGUAAAGGGCUCGUAGGCGGCCAACUAAGUCAGACGUGAAAUCCCCAGGCUCAACCUGGGAACUGCGUCUGAUACUGGAUGGCUUGAGUUCGGGAGAGGGAUGCGGAAUUCCAGGUGUAGCGGUGAAAUGCGUAGAUAUCUGGAGGAACACCGGUGGCGAAGGCGGCAUCCUGGACCGACACUGACACUGAGGAGCGAAAGCCAGGGGAGCAAACGGG
rnacentral:rRNA from 1 species